GGGGUAGUACACCCUCNNUACAUAUAUGGGGUAGUACACCCUCUGUCUGAUAAGCAGUAGAAAGGUUAGCAGGUCACACGUUGGUUCGAUUCCAACCUACCCCACCA
rnacentral:tRNA from 1 species